UUAUACGAGUGACACAAAUUAAUAUCCUACGGCGUUAAGGGUGAUUAGAAAUAUCUCGCCCAAAAUAAAGUUAAGACCCCAUUAAGCUGUCAUACGCUCUCAUGCUUAAAAACAUCAUUCACGAAAGUAACUUUAUAUUAACAGAGUUUUUGACCUCACGACAGUUAAGACCCAAACUAGGAUUAGAUACCCUACUAUGCUUAACCGUAAACAUUGUUACAAGCAUAUUUACCUUAAUACACCGCCUGAACACUACAAGCGCUAGCUUAAAAUCCAAAGGACUUGGCGGUGCUCCAAACCCACCUAGAGGAGCCUGUUCUAUAACCGAUAAUCCACGUUUAACCUCACCACUUCUUGCCCCUUCCGCCUAUAUACCGCCGUCGUCAGCUCACCCUAUGAAGGCAUAACAGUAAGCACAAUGACCUUUACCCUCAAUACGUCAGGUCGAGGUGUAGCGAAUGAAGUGGGAAGAAAUGGGCUACAUUCUCUUUCUAGAACACACGAACAGAAGCAUGAAAAACUUCUUAAAGGUGGAUUUAGCAGUAAGUAAAUUUCAGAACAUUAUACUGAAACCGGCUCUGGAGCGCGCACACACCGCCCGUCACUCUCCUCGAAAAAUCACCAUAAAUUUCAUAAAAAAACUUUACAACAAGAGGAGGCAAGUCGUAACAUGGUAAGUG
rnacentral:rRNA from 1 species